AUAAAAAAAUCCUAUGAAUUCUUGAUAAAAUAAAUCUAGUGAAUUAAAAUUUCUACAGCCAAGAAAAUAGAAAUUUGAAAAUUUAUUCUACUACAGCCUUUUAAAAAAAAAAAAUUGGGCUGUAAAGCUACAACAUGAUUGGUACGUAAUCAAAGCUUUAAGAAAAGUUAAAGCUGUAAGUCAGACUGGUACGUAAUCAAAGCUUUAAGAAAAGUUAAGACUGUAAGUGAGACUUAAUUCCUCAAACAGAAUAUCUACUUUUAAAUUCUACAUAAAUUCUUACACAUUUUUUAAUUCAUUUUCUCUAUCUAUUAAAAAUGGAAAGGUAUUAUAAUACAAUGCCUCACGAUAUUUUGAUUUAAAAUAUUGUAUCCAUGUCUACGUACCUCGAAACCAGCCAGGUCAUUCAAAUAACGCACAAUUUCAGCUGAA
rnacentral:sRNA from 1 species